CCUACGGGAGGCAGCAGUGAGGAAUAUUGGUCAAUGGGCGCGAGCCUGAACCAGCCAAGUCGCGUGAGGGAAGACGGUCCUAUGGAUUGUAAACCUCUUCUGUCGGGGAGCAAAAGACGCCACGCGUGGCGUUCCGAGAGUACCCGAAGAAAAAGCAUCGGCUAACUCCGGGCCAGCAGCCGCGGUAAUACGGGGGAUGCGAGCGUUAUCCGGAUUUAUUGGGUUUAAGGGGUGCGCAGGCGGAAGAUCAAGUCAGCGGUAAAAUUGAGGGGCUCAACCCCUUCGAGCCGUUGAAACUGGUUAUCUUGAGUGAGUGAGAGGUAUGCGGAAUGCGUGGUGUAGCGGUGAAAUGCGUAGAUAUCACGCAGAACUCCGAUUGCGAAGGCAGCAUACCGGCGCUCAACUGACGCUCAUGCACGAAAGUGUGGGUAGCGAACAGGAUUAGAUACCCCAGUAGUC
rnacentral:rRNA from 1 species